GAUGAACGCUGGCGGUCUGCUUAACACAUGCAAGUCGAACGGAAGUAGCAAUACUUUAGUGGCGGACGGGUGAGUAACACGUAAGAAUCUGCCUCCAGGACGGGAAAAACAGGUGGAAACGACUGCUAAUUCCGGAUGAGCCGAAAGGUAAAAAGAAAUUCGCCUGGAGAUGAGCUUGCGGCUGAUUAGCUAGUUGGUAGGGUAAGAGCCUACCAAGGCGACGAUCAGUAGCUGGUCUGAGAGGAUGAGCAGCCACACUGGGACUGAGACACGGCCCAGACUCCUACGGGAGGCAGCAGUGGGGAAUUUUCCGCAAUGGGCGAAAGCCUGACGGAGCAAGACCGCGUGGGGGAGGAAGGUUCUUGGAUUGUCAACCCCUUUUCUCAGGGAAGAAGAUCUGACGGUACCUGAGGAAUCAGCAUCGGCUAACUCCGUGCCAGCCGCCGCGGUAAUAC
rnacentral:rRNA from 1 species